GCAGUAAGAAAUCACCUCCAAAUCUCAGUGGCUAAACACAGUUUCUUUCCCGUGCUGUGUGCCCGGCGUGGUCAGCAGGUAGGCCCUGCUUGUCGCAGUCACCCGAAGACCCAAACUGAUGGAGGUGUGAUCUUGAGUGUGCAGCAUUGGAAUGGGAACUAGAGGAUCUUGCUGUAUUAAUGACAUGAUUGGGCCCAGAAGUGACUUACAUUGCUUUGGCCAGAAAGUGCUAGGACCCCAUUGAAACCACAAUUCAGUAUUUCUUGUCCUGAAAAAGGGGGAAAUGGAUAGAGCAUGCCCAUUACCUAGGGAUUCUGGGCACAUAUAAAUGAUCUGCUUGGGACUGGCAAACAAGAACUGGUGAUAAAUGGACAGUGAGCAAACCGUCUGAAACAUUAGUCAAAAGGAUUCUUCCCUUCCAGAAAUGCUUGGUUAAGCAGGAGAGUACUCACAACAGAAGUGGGAACCAUGAACUGGGAGACAGAUUCAAGGAAUGAUCUAGAAGACAGCACAGGAAACAGAUUGAAAAUAACUGAAGAAGUUAAGAUGGCACGGAAGCUCGAGGAGGACGUUCUAAUUACAUCUCGUUUGAGUUCCAGAAAGGGAAGUGGGAAAAAAAAGGACAGAGGAAAUGCAUGAAAAGAUUAUGCCUGAGAAUUUUCCAUGGCGGCCCACUUUCAAGAGAGAAAAAGAGAGAGCCAUGCAAGAAGGAAGCCAAUCUUUUGGUAACCUCAUUGCUGAAGUGAUAACCUACCAAUGUCGUCGUAUUCUCACCAUUAGAAGCAAAUCAUUAAGUUCAGGCCAUUACACAAUUACACAAGUGUGUGAAUGCCAGGAAGUAAGGACUGUUAAAGGCCAUCUUAGAGACUGCCUAUGUGAGAAAUCAAUGACAUGCACAUCAAAACAGAAUAAGAUCCUGCUACACAUAUACUAGAAUGACUAAAUUUUUUAAAAAUGCAACAUCAAUGUUAACAAAAAUAGGGGGCAAUUGGAAUUGCUGGUGGGAUCUAAAAUAGUACACACAUUUUGGAAAACAGUUUGGCAGUUCUUAAAUAGUUAAAUAUACACCUACCAUAUGUCAUUCUGCUCUUAAGUAUUUACCCCAAAGAAAUGAAAACAGGUGUUUGCACAAAGACUUGUACAUGAAUGUCCUUAGCAUAUUUAUAACAGUCAAAACACUCGGUACAACCCAAUGUCCAUCGCAAAGGAAGUGAUAACAAGUUGUGGCAUAUUUAUACAAUUGAACACAACCCAAUAAUAAAAUGGAACUGUUGAUAUAUGUAAUAAUGUGAAUCAAUCUCAAAAUAAUUAUGCUGGACAAAAGAAGUC